GACGAACGCUGGCGGCGUGCCUAAUACAUGCAAGUUGAGCGCUGAAGGUUGGUACUUGUACCAACUGGAUGAGCAGCGAACGGGUGAGUAACGCGUGGGGAAUCUGCCUUUGAGCGGGGGACAACAUUUGGAAACGAAUGCUAAUACCGCAUAAAAACUUUAAACACAAGUUUUAAGUUUGAAAGAUGCAAUUGCAUCACUCAAAGAUGGUCCCGCGUUGUAUUAGCUAGUUGGUGAGGUAAAGGCUCACCAAGGCGAUGAUACAUAGCCGACCUGAGAGGGUGAUCGGCCACAUUGGGACUGAGACACGGCCCAAACUCCUACGGGAGGCAGCAGUAGGGAAUCUUCGGCAAUAGACGAAAGUCUGACCGAGCAACGCCGCGUGAGUGAAGAAGGUUUUCGGAUCGUAAAACUCUGUUGGUAGAGAAGAACGUUGGUGAGAGUGGAAAGCUCAUCAAGUGACGGUAACUACCCAGAAAGGGACGGCUAACUACGUG
rnacentral:rRNA from 1 species